CCCUGCCUUCGGGCGGGGGCUCCGGGUGGACACUUCAAACUCUUGCGUAACUUUGCAGUCUGAGUAAACUUAAUUAAUAAAUUAAAACUUUUAACAACGGAUCUCUUGGUUCUGGCAUCGAUGAAGAACGCAGCGAAAUGCGAUAAGUAAUGUGAAUUGCAGAAUUCAGUGAAUCAUCGAAUCUUUGAACGCACAUUGCGCCCCCUGGUAUUCCGGGGGGCAUGCCUGUUCGAGCGUCAUUUCACCACUCAAGCCUCGCUUGGUAUUGGGCAACGCGGUCCGCCGCGUGCCUCAAAUCGACCGGCUGGGUCUUCUGUCCCCUAAGCGUUGUGGAAACUAUUCGCUAAAGGGUGCUCGGGAGGCUACGCCGUAAAACAAACCCAUUUCUAAGGUUGACCUCGGAUCAGGUAGGGAUACCCGCUGAACUUAAGCAUAUCAAUAAGCGGAGGAAAAGAAACCAACAGGGAUUGCCCCAGUAACG
rnacentral:rRNA from 1 species